GUCGUAUCUUGUUUUUCAAUGUCUUGAAAACAAUCUUAUUAUUGAUAGUCAAAUUCAAAGUCCUCGAUUGUCUGGAUAGAGAUUAACAAUAGCCAACAAACUUGUCACCAUUCAACCCAAGCAACUCAAGUUUACCUGUCAGUAAAUCUCUUCUCAGAAUUAUUGAAUUUGGCAGCUUAUUUUCAGUGAGCAAAUUUUUUCAUGAUAUUUAUAUCCUUCUGUAAUGUUAAACUCAAUUGUUCAUCAUUAUUGUUUUUUAUUGAAUGAUAGAUGCAAAGUAUGCAUAUAGACAAAACCUUGCAUUUGAUCAUAAUUUUGUCAUGCUCCAUGUUUAUCAUUUAUCAUACCUAAUCAUCUAUGUUAGCCAACAUGCACCCUACAACAAAUCUAUGGCAUAUUCCAUUUCAAAUUCACUUUUCGUUUUCUGGUGUUCAUCUAGCACAAUGCACUAGUUCUGUGCAUUUUACAAGAGAGUUUUUUUUAAUUUGCCCUUUGUUGGUUGAAAAUUUUGUACACUUGGGGAAAUAUACAAAACUGUGGUUUCAACCACAGCGUGUGAGUAAAAAUUUCCUAAUUAAGAUAAGGCUCCCCCUAUCAAACUACAACUUUGAAAAUAAAAUAGGAUGGGACAACAAUCUUUCUUCUUCUUUCAAGAAAGACAAUAUCUUUUUUUUGUGAAUAGAAAAGGAUAGCGAUUUGAUAUAAACAACAUUAACCACUUUCAAAAUGAAAUGAGAGAAAAGAAAUGAAGUUUCCUGAAAGUGCAAAGAUUUCCAUCACUUCCUUCGGGACGAGAUAGCAAUAUCAAGCUCAAAGACUUCAUUAUGUGAAGUCCUAUCUACCCUUUUCUAUACUAAUGCUAUAAAGAACAAAUUAUAAUAGUUCAAAGACAGAAACAUCUUAUUCUUUUCUACUUAAAACAAUGGGAAGUAGUAUAAGCUCAAAGACUCACAACUAUUUCUCACAAAAUCUACUCUUAAGUUCUUCUCAACAAAAUAUUUAUUUUGAUCUAUAUUAACUUGAACUAUUUGCAGCACAAAGACUACAAAUCAUAUGUGAUUAAGCUCUUUAAGAAACACUUGCAAGAAAGAUAAUAUUGAACACAAACUCAACAAUGUAGCACAAAGACUCAAAGCUUGAGAAAUUUCCUUCUAUUCCUUUCAAUUCUUGAAUUCACACAUGAAAGCUCAAAGACUUUUUGUUGUAAAUUUCGUAGAGCUUUUGUUGGCUUUCCAAAAAGAUAAAAAUUACAAUAGACCCCUCAAGUAUUUAUAGAAGAGGAGCCUUGAGAAAAAGGUGGGAGGAUCCUAACUAACUUGAGAGAUUCUCUCAACCACCAAGACUUAUUCAAUAACUAACUAAGAUUUCAAUAAUUAACUAAGACGUCAAUAAGUAACUAAGACUUAUUCCAACUAUAGUCCUAAUUGAACACAACUUGUAAUUGCUUUACAUGUAAUUGCAAAAGUGCAAGUAAAGAGUUAACUUGCAUUUUACAAAAAGACUUUUACACGAAACUUGUCAAAAGAAAAACUACAACUAAAGAUUACAAAUGUGGAAAAAUACAACUAAGUGUUGAAAAACACUUAAGUUGCAUUACGUGAAGACACGAAUCCUUCAAACUUUUGGAUGAUCAUUUGUAGUUCAUCGGGAUUGUAUCAUGGGUGUUCUUGGCAACAACCAUGGUCUUCACAAUGGUAUCAUGGCAUCGGAGGAGCGCAUAGCUAUUUUUCUCUAGGAGGGACUGGAUUUCAUGCAAAAAGAUUUGUUGUUUCAUCAAAAUUUGAAUUGAAGCGGUUGAGAAUUGUUAACUCCUCUAUUUAUUAUGUAUCCUCAUCUAUAAAUCAGCAAGAACUUCUUCUAGAAUCAGCUCUCCAUCCUGACUUAGUAUGUUGCAAGAAGCUUUUUCACAAUGAGAGACAAUAUCUUAGAAAACUUCACCCCCUAAUCUCAUUGUAUCACCAAUCUCCUCAAUGAGGUAUUUAAGAACAAGGGACUUAUUUUCUAGAAGCUCUUCAAAUUUCAAGUGCAUGACCCUGGAAGAGAUGAUGACAUGCUCUAGUAGAACGCUCAACUGUUGUUGGGGCAUGGUAUGCCAGAUUUUUAAACUAUCUUCAACACUUUCUAGAUUCUUUUUGAAAAUAUCGAAAGUCUGAUCUAGUUUCUCUUCAACGGUUUCCAACUUAGACAUCAUCUGAAAAAUGUCCUUCAUUACUUGUGCACAUAGAUAAUGAAGUUGAUCAACCUAAGAAUUCAAUGCUUGUACCUUUUGAGCAGCCCUUUCCACUCCAGGAAUUGAUUCUUGGGAACCAGAAGAACCUAUGGAGUUACUCCCUUCAGCAGCAGGUUUUGUGAUUUUAUGAACAACUGCCAUAAGUUGUCGGUUUUCUUCUUCUAGCUUUUCUUUCUUUUUUAGCAGUUCAUCACACCGCUGUACUUGUGAAGCUACAAAAAAUAGGGCAUCAUGUUUAAUCACCUCAUGCGUUUGCUUACCCAAUUCUAUCCUUGUAACUUUGUAAUCAGCAGUUGACAUUUCUUCAAAUGACUUAUCUGCAAUGGGUUCAAGAAUUUCAGCUACCUUCAUCUUGUUGUUGUCAAUAGUUAUUCUAGAGAUAGUCUUGGCCUUUUUAGCAACCUUGGAUCUUGACUAUUUUAGUUGUUGAUAAUUAAAGACAUCAGGUGAGAUUUCUCACUUCUUCCAUUUUGGAGUAAAAGAACUAAGCCAUGGAGGUAAAGUCAUCAACUCUCCUUCAAUAGCAGCCGUAGGCAAAGGAGAAGCAGUUUCUGUUUGAAUAACUGUGGUCAUCCUGGGAGGAAUAUUUGUUUGGAUUGCGACCACAGUUUGCUCAGUAACCAAUGGGCAUGAAGAUUGCCUCAUGAAUUCUUCAAAACCAGAAGUGGAGGUAUCAAUUUUUUGACAGUUGGACACAAGUAGGAAUAUCUUCAGGAACUUCUCGCACACUCUCUUGUUGAUGAUCAGGAGGUGGCUCGUAUGCCGAAAUAAGAAUGGCAUUUUGAGGAGAUUCAUCAACAAGCAAGUUAGGAGGAGAAAGGGGUGUCUCAAUGGAAACUGGGGGAAUAAUCUCAUGAGGCGAGUCGGAUGCUGGAGACUUGGGAGCAUCAUCAGAUUGUUGCCCUUCUUCUGGAUUAUCUAGAUCGAUCACCUGAACAUGAAAUCGUGACUUUUCUUUUCCACGAACUGUCGCCUCCUCAGGAGGAAGCACUACUGCUCGACUAACUCGCAAUUUGAUCUUUGUGCCCAAAGAUGAUGCGUCUUCCUUGUUGUCAACCUGAAUCUUAGACUUACGUCCAAGAGGCCCCAUAAAAUCAUCUUCUUUUCCAAUCUUGAUUAUUAUGAGUCUAAUAGCAUUACUUUUCAACCAAGCGUUGGUGUUAGCCAAGAUAGGCUGAAAUCUCUCAAGAAUGGAUAUGCACUCCUUGUGUGACCAUUGGAUUAAAGGAAGUGGAGCUUCCUCAACCCUUCGUGAAAUAUAUUCAGGAUCAAGUAUGUGCCCAUUAUCAAUCAUCCCUUGUGGAGUAUCCACCAAGUUUAAAUCAACAACCUGCUCAACAGCGAACCUGCAAUAAUCCAUCUUUAAAACCUUGACCUCUGUGCGGAGAUCUACCCAGAUAUCCUCAAUGCGAUGCACGUGCACAUGAUUUUUUGAUCUUCUCCUUCAUACCCUAGUAAUCAAAAUCAGCCCUAAACUUAAACCUUUUGAGCUUAAUUUCCUGCAUUUCAGUCUCCAUGGCCUUGGCUUUAACGUAUGUGACAAGAAAAUACCGACCAAUUUUUAAUGGGUUUGUUGUGGAGAUCCCCAUUCCAACCUUAUGUUUGGUAGACUGAUGAGUAUGGACAGCCAUGAUUUGUCUUCCCAACUCCAUAAGAAUGAUCUUAUUAGUUGGGUAUCUAAAAAGCAUGUAUUGCUGCCCACUAUAACAUCCGAUUCUCAUAUAGGUGAAGGUCGAGAACUGUGGAAACAAACAUCCAUACUCACUCACCCUUUCCCAUGCCUCAUCUGAUACCCUUUUGUUCUUCAGAGGUAUGUCAAAAUGACACAUGAAGUAACCAAAGAAUGCAUCUUGGACUCUUCUGAAAUGCAAUUUGUUGGAUCUCAAAGGCAACUGAUCAUAGUAUUCCCAAACUGGUAUAAGUGAGUGAUCACCCUUGGUAGAAAGACCUGGAAAAUGUCUAAGGGAUGCUGCCAAGUACACCAAGUAUGAAUUCAUAUAGAAAGUCAUGGUGGAAGGAACUGCUGCAAGUUGUUCACACAAGACAUCGUUGAUGACUUCUCCCCAUGAUAUAUGAUGGGACUGCCUUAUGAACAUGAUACACUGGUACAUCCAGGACUCAAAAACAUUAGAAUAUUCAAGGCCCAUUAUCUUGCUGAGGAGGGUUAUGAUGUCUCCUAUUUCCCAUUUGAAGUCACAACAGUACAACUUAGCCCACCUUGAGAAGACGGCUCGUGGCUUUUGGAUCCACCUGUUGAUAUGUCGUUUACAAUCUUUUUCCCUUUUCACAUAAUACUUAGCUGCACUCUCUUUGUAGAUUUCCAUGUAAACAGGUGCGAGAGGUAUUCUAAAGACCUUCUCAAUUGUGUCUGGAUCAAGGCAGAUUAUUGCUUCGCCAUCAUCAUUUUUAAUUAUUUUUGCGUCCUUGUCAAAGUGAUGGGCGCAAGCGAGAACAAAUUCAGGUUCUAGGGCAGCCACCGGGAAAGAAGAUGCAUGAUGGAUAUGGUUGUCCAACAACUGCUGCAUAUUGCUAUCUUGUGGAUCCUCAACCCUUUUGACAAAUUUUAACAUGUCUAAAUCCCUAUCUCUGUAUCUCUGAUACGAUCCAAAGGAGAGGAAACUUGGGAAGGUGCAACUUCGUUUUGGUACUUGUUAUAUUUGUACUUCAUCUUUUUUGGAAUUGGAGAUGACGACAAAUUUGACAUUGAUGGACAACUUGGAAUACUGUGAUGAAGACUUAAAAGCGUUAAGGCAACAUCAUAUUCAGCUGCAAAUAACAUUUUUGCCUUCUUCAAAUGGUAAAAACUUCGACUCUUGAGCUUCACGAUUUUGAGAGAGAAAGAGCUGAAAUAAAUGGAAAUGGGGGAAUCUUGACUUUAACCAAUUUCGAGUCUUGGGGAAAUUUUCGCAAGUAUACAAUUUGGAAAGGGCAUACAUGCAAUCGGAUUUUUAAAACCCGAAUGCAAGUACACUUGUAAAUUUGCAAAUGGAGAAAUGGAUGGAAAAUGAGAAUUAGACUUGCGGAAAAUGAUGAAAAUGGAAAGUAUGUAUAUGGUUGACAUGAAUGGAUAAAAAUGGGAAAAUCCGAGAAUGUCAUUUUCAUGAAAAUGGGAAGAACUUUUCAACAUGUAAUCCGGUUUUUAAAACCUGAUUUUGAAAGGGUAUUUCACAUUUUUUCAACUUGGAAUUUUAACAGAAAAUGGUUAAAUUCUUUAACCGUAAGGGAAGAACAAAGAUUUCCAGCCAACUUGCAAUCGGGAUUUAAAAUCUCGAAUACAAGUAAAGAGGGAAAAUGGUGAAGAACAAUACAAUUUUUGGAUUGCAUAUCAAGGGGGAAAAACUCUCUCACAAAACCGAUUUUUGAGACAAGAACAACAUAUUUACAAAUUUACAACUAGAAAGGAAAACUAAGAAAACAAGAAAAUAAGAAAAUGAAACAAGGAAAGAAAAGAAAAUAUAUGUUGUUUCAAACUGAAAAUGCCUCUCCAAAAGAUGCAAUCAAUCUUGGAAUGAAGAAGAAUAGCUCUUAAAUAAACACAAACCGCAAUCCCAAACACUAGCCAUGUUUUUGAAAAUCGUCUUUAGCAGCAAAACCGUGGUUGAAGAUACAACAAAAUAGGGUCAAAUCGCUAAGGAAAUACCAUGUAGGAGAGUACCAAAGCCAAACACCCAAGGAUGAAGUGAAAUCGUGGCACCAAAACCCCAAGAUGUGGCUUGGAAGAAUCAUGUGAAAAAUGGUUUUGAAGAAGUAAAACGCAGUAAAUGAAGUGUAAACCGUUUACCAAAUCACAUGCAACGUGUUUCCAAACUCACAAAAAUCGCAUUGCAAUCAUAUUGCCUCCUUUAUUUAAUGAAUUUCUCCACAAAAAUCGGGAAGAAUUUGUGGCAAAAUCAGUUUAGGAGAGGAAAAAUACUUGGUCGGGUUUUUGGAAGUGAAUAACAAGUUUCAAUUUGCAUGAAACAAUGAAAAUCGGGUUUUUGGAGGAAAUAACAAGUUUAAAAUGCACUUUUUCAACUAUAACGCAAAAAUCAGGUUUUUUGGAUGAAAUAGCAAGUUUAAAAUUUUUGAAAUUGCAUUUAAUAGGCAAAAUUGGGUUUUUUGGAUCAAAUAGCAAGUUUGAAAUGCACUUUUCUCAUUCUAUAGGCAAAAUCGGGUUUUGGAGAGAGAUGUGCAAGUUUAAAAUCACUUGUAAAGGGAAAAUAAAAUUCCUACAACAAGUUAUAAUUCACUUGCACACAUGUAAUAGGGGUUAAAAAUCCCUAUUACAAGCAAAAACCAUUAAAGCAGGGGUUUUAGAAAAGAACUACAAGUUUAUUUGUAACUUAACCAAAAAAUCCCUAUAUUUAUUGAAAAAGCAAAAAAACAUCAAGGGGGAAAUAAAAAACAAAUUACAAGUUUUUAUUUUUCAAUAAAGUGCACUUGUAAUUAGCCAAAAAUUUCCUUACAAAGACCAAAACAAUGGAAAUCAUUAAAACUUGCAAUUCAAAGAAAAUUCUCCACCUGCAGUCAGGGAGAAAAAACCUGAAAUUGAAGGAAAGACAUAGCAAACGAACCUUGAAUGCGAUGAAAUUCGAAAAGUAGUUCGAGGAUGGACUAAGGAUUAAGUCAGUGUCACGAACCCUAUUUUUCCAUAAUUAUUUAAUUAGGAAAAUAAUGUUUAUUUUUCAAAUGAAAUGAAAAUAGAAUUGUUAAUGAAAUAAGAAAGGAUAUCGAAUGUACUGAUAUGAUUUAUAUACAAUUAAAUGAUCAGUGAUAAUUUUUAUUGUAAAUUGGGAUUGUCAUUGCUAAUGAGCGAUUGAGUGCAAAGUGAAUGCAGGAACAGGUGAACAAUGAUGAAGACGAGAACAUGGUUCAGAUUAUAUUUCAAGAGGGAUAUAGGCGCCUUCACACGAAACAAGGUGGGCUUUACCUGGUGACUGCAGGGCUAGAGUGUUUGGCAUGCUGUAGAUGGCGGAGACGGAGACAGUGCAGAGCCCAAUGCAAGAAAACCCUAAAGCAGGGCCGUCAAAACAGGAGCUCUCGGUUAGCGUCCCUUGCAAGCAGUUGGCAUUUGGGGCUGAAGCCAUACGACAUGGAGGGGUAGACGUGUAGCUUCGGUGGGUUUUAUGGGCAGAUUUUACUGUUUUUUUGUAUGUAUGGGAUGGGCAAUGGUUGUGCAUCCUACCUGGACACCAGUUUCCUUAACAACAGUGAGUGAAUAUAUCAAAGAUCGAGAAGCGUUUUUGAUAGAGCACUCUCAAUCUAUAAGAGGCAUGGUAUGCGACAGAAAGGACAAGAUUAAUACACAGUUGAUCGAUGCUCUUCCUUGUUUGGAGACUGUGGCCACCAGCAGCGUUGGAGUGGAUAAGGUUGAUUUGGCCAAGAGCAGGCAGUGCAACAUUGCGGUGGUCUAUACUCCUGAUGUGUUGACUGAUGUAGUGGCGGAUUUGGCCAUCGCUCUUGUGCCUGAUACCCUUCGUCGCAUUUCAUCUUCUGAUUGCUAUGUUCGCCAGGGCCUGUGGCAGAGUAAGGGAGACUACAAGCUAAGUUGCAAGGUGCCACAUCUACAAAUAAGCAGCUCUGUAAAUAAGUUGGAAGCGGGAGAGGGUUAACACGGUUCCUGGCAGGCUGCAAUGAAUAAUAUCCAAGCUCUACAACUCUCGUGACAUCUCUGCACUUCAAUCCAAUUUUGGUUAUGGACCUCUGCUGCACAAGAAAGCAAGUAGGAGGAAAACGAUUUUGCCAAUGCAAAGGAGAAUGAUGGAAAAUAGAGUUUCAGGCUAUCAGCUGAAUGCACCGUUUCUCAAGAGAUAUCCAAGAAAAACUAGAAGUGCAAUAAUGACUAGAGAGGUGAAUUCUGAAGCUUCCAGAGUGAAUUGCAUUUUUUGUCAAUUCCUUAAAACUCUCGUUAUUAAUGGAACCAAUUUUAAGCAAGAAAAAGACGUUGCAAUAUAAUGGAAUUAGAGUGAAGCAGAAUGUUGUUCCAAUAUGGUAAUUUACCUGUUGGCUAUAUGAUGAUUUUGAAGGGGACCUUAUCACUUCUACAAUGAAUUGUUUUAGAUAGAGAAUUGGAAUGUAGAUCCAAUACUUAUGGUGCAGUUAUGUUCCACACAAUGUUGUGAUACAUGGGCUGAGCUUGCAAAUAACUCUUCAGAACUCAAUAUUAUCAUCUAUAACAGACGAAUAAGUUGAUGUGCUCUUUGUUUCCUUCAAGGCUCAGAAAAUGGACAAAAACAUUGUGUGGGACUAAACUAUAAUUUCAGGUGUUGAGUCAAUAUUCCAAACCUGAAGCAUUUCUAUGGGUGCAAUCUCUUACACCACCCUAGUAUGCAAACUUUCAAAUAAAUCAAUGUCUUCAAAUAUAGUUUUUAUCUUUUUCAUUGGUCAAAUCAUCACAGCCAUUGUCAAAUGGGUUAAUAAUAACAAGAAAGACAUCUUCAGUUGGACUAGACUUGGAUAACAAGAAAAACAUCUUCAAUUGGACAGGACUUGGAGCCAUGAAAAUCUAUGAAUUCUGAGUAGUAAUUUACUUGUUGGAUAUAUGAUGAUUUUGAAGAGGGCCUUAUCAGUUCUGUAAUUAAAUGUUUUAGAGAGAGAAUUGGAAUAUAGAUCUGAUACUUAUGUUGCACUUA